UACAGAGGGGGCAAGCGUUAUUCGGAAUUAUUGGGCGUAAAGGGCGCGUAGGUGGCUUGAUAAGUCAAAGGUGAAAUCCCUCGGCUCAACCGAGGAACUGCCUUUGAAACUGUCAGGCUUGAGGCCGGGAGAGGGUAGCGGAAUUCCCAGUGUAGCGGUGAAAUGCGUAGAUAUUGGGAGGAACACCGGUGGCGAAGGCGGCUCUCUGGUCCGAUACUGACGCUGAGGUGCGAAAGCGUGGGGAGCAAACAGGAUUAGAAACCCUGGUAGU
rnacentral:rRNA from 1 species